GGAGGAAGGAGGUUGGAUAACUGUUUUGUGAACACUGCUGGAUUUGUCUUAAUUUUAAAUAGUGCAAAAUAACUUAUUUUGCAUAAAUCCACGUAAGGGCCCUAAAGUCCGACUUCUUUUGUAUGUAACCUCCCUAGCUGUGCAUUUCUGAAGACCUAGCACCUCCAUCAUAGCCACCUGCAGUGUUGGCUACAACCUCGAUGAGACAUGUCUGAGAACAAGGACAGUUCCAUUCAGGCAAAGUAAAAUCCAGUGUGUUUCACACAGAACCAGGAUUGCUAAGUGCUCCCUGUGGAAGGAUGACACAUCUACUCUGUAUUUACAUCAGGCUUGGCCUAGUGACUUACUUCAGCCAAUGAAAUGGCAGAUACAAUGCUGUAUGCCACUUCCAGCAAAAGCUGUAAGACCUUCACAAGAUUCCACCAUUUUCCUUUUAUCUCCUCCAUGAGCCCAGCAAUGGCCCAAUGGGAGCUGCCCUUUUAGCCUGGAUCUAAGAGUGAAGAAGAUGUUGAUAAGAACUACAGUCAUGUAGCAGCUGUUAUGUAAAGUGAAUAAAAAAUAAAGCAUUGUUGUUAUAAACCACUGAGA